AGGAUGAACGCUAGCGGCAGGCCUAAUACAUGCAAGUCGAGGGGGAUUGGGGAGCUUGCUCCCCAUGAGACCGGCGCACGGGUGCGUAACGCGUAUGCAACCUGCCUUGAUCAGGGGGAUAGCCCGGAGAAAUCCGGAUUAACACCGCAUAAAACCACAGCACAGCAUUGUGCAAUGGUCAAAUAUUCAUAGGAUCAAGAUGGGCAUGCGUGCCAUUAGCUAGUUGGUAGGGUAACGGCCUACCAAGGCGACGAUGGCUAGGGGGAUCGUGAGACGGGAUGGGCCCCCCAGACGUGGUACUGGAGACACGGACCAGACUCCUACGGGAGCAGCAGUAAGGAAUAUGGUACAAUGGAGGCAACUCGUGAACCAGCCUAUGCCGCGUAGCGAGGAGACGAGCCCUAAGGGUCUAAAC
rnacentral:rRNA from 1 species